CUCAAAAAAAAAAAAAAAAAAAAAAAAAAAGAAUUGCUUCUGUACUUAAAUGCCCUUCACUUACAGAUUGUCUUUAAUCACAAAAGGGUCUUCAAUUGAAAAAAAAUGAUGUGUUUUAUUUGGGUAAAGUAAAAGAGGCCUAGAAGAUGGGCAGAUUCUAAACAGUGUUCAUCAUCUGAAUGAAAGAAGAUUCUGGAUAAACUCAGCAUGCAGUUACAGAUACUGAAGAGGAAGGGCGCUGACUGCGAACCAUGGUGCUUCUUGGCAUUUGUAACACAGGACUACUGACAUCAUUCUUUCUGACAUUGUUAUUAUUCUGAAUUGAAGGGAGCUCCUGUUCUCACUUCUUGUAAACCAGUCUUUGUUUUUGAACUUUUUAUGCAAUGAUGAGAAGAGAUCUCAACUUAGAAAUCUUGUUGAGCUGCGUGAAAUAGGAAGUGGCAUAUAAACUUACAAGAUGAUUAUAAUGAAAUGGAAUCAAGUUAAGAUGAGGUCAUACUCAUUGGAUUGGGCCCGCCUCCUUCAAUGACUGAUGUCCUUAUAAGAAGAGGGAAAUUUGGACACAGGGAGACACAGGAAAUGGCCAUGUGAGGGAGGCAGAGAUCGAAGUGAUGCUACCACAAGCCAAGGGACACCAAGGAUUGCAAGAAACCACCAGAGCUAGGAAGAGGCAAGGAAUGAUUCUCCCCUGGAGACUUCAGAGAGAGCACAGCCCCACUGACACCUUGAUUUCAGAUUUCUAGUCUCCAGAAAUAUGAGAGAAUAAAUUUCUGUUGUGUUAAGCCA